GAGUGGGAGAGGAAGAAGCAGGCUCAUAGCUGAGGAGCCUGACGUGGGACUCGAUCCCAGAACGCCAGGAUCACGCCCUGAGCCGAAGGCAGAUGCUUAGCGACUGCACCACCCAGGUGCCCCGACCUUAGAAUCUGAUACAUGAGAUUUCCGCCUGUCGGUUAUUUGGAAUACAAUGAAAUAUGCACUGUAGAAACUGCCAUUCGAGUAUUUAUUGUCUCAUUUCUAUUUAAUCAAAAAUUUAAAAGUGCUCGAAGUGUCGAGAUGUGCGGGCGGUGUCUGAGAGCUCUGAUGGACCGAGGGAUAAAUGUUAAUUACACAUCCGGGGAGGUGAUAAAUGGGCCGUGACGCUGAGAUGAAGUUCCAUCACCCCGAAGAGGAGGCCAGCCGGAAGAAGAGGGUGCUUGAAGGUGGGGAAGCUGAGAAAGUCGCAGGGCCGGCCGCAGGGCCUCAGCAAGGUGCACACAGGGCGGGACAGCGGCCCGGGCUCCCCCGGGGCAGGCCUUCCGGUGGAGACCUGCUGCGCCAGUGGCAUCUCGCACGACCACGGUCCACGCGGAGCCGGCAGAUGUGAGCACGCAGAGAGAGCACAAGCAGAGGGAGCAGCAGAGGGAGCGGGAGAAGCAGCCUCCCCCGUGAGCAGGGAGCCCAACGCGGGUCUCCGUCCCAGGACUCCGGGAUCAUGACCUGAGCCGAAGGUAGACGCUUCACCGACUGAGCCAGCCAGGCGCCCUGGUCUACACUUAUGAAGGAAUCAUUGGAUUAUGGCGUAUGUGUACGCGUAGUUUUUAUAAAUACUGCCGAGCAGUUUUCCAAAGUGACUGUGCCCAUUCACGCUCAUGGAGCAGAGUGCCGUGCUUCUAUCUGUCCCACGUUUUCUCCGACACUUAGCGUGUGCAUAUAUAUUUAAACUUUCGGGCAUUUUGGUGAAUGUGUAGUGGAACUACACUGUGGUUUUAAUUUCCCUGAUGACUAAUUAUAUUGGGUACCUGUCACAUGCUUGUUUCCUUUUGUAUAUCCUUUAUUAUGAAAAAUACAUCUAAUAUUUUUCUAA